GGGGCGGUAGCUCAGUAGGUAAGAGUGCUUGCUUCACAAACAUGAGGAUCUGAGUUCAAAUCCCCAGCUUCCACA
rnacentral:tRNA from 1 species